AUUGAACGCUGGCGGCAGGCCUAACACAUGCAAGUCGAGCGCGCGGCGGAGGGGGGAGCAAUGUAUGUGGUCUGCCCGAUCUAGGGGGAUAACAACUGGAAACGGUAGCUAAUACCGCAUAUUAUCGCAUAACCCACAUGGGAUUAGCUAGUCGGUGGGGUAAUGGAUCACCUAGGCGACGAUCCCUAGCUGUUCUGAGAGGAUGAUCAGCCACACUGGGACUGAGACACGGCCCAGACUCCUACGGAGGCAGCAGUGGGGAAUAUUGCACAAUGGGCGCAAGCCUGAUGCAGCCAUGCCGCGUGUAUGAAGAAGGCCCUAGGGUUGUAAAGUACUUUCAGUCGGGAGGCGUUACCGACAGAAGAAGCACCGGCUAACUCCGUGCCAGCAGCCGCGGUAAUUC
rnacentral:rRNA from 1 species